rnacentral:rRNA from 1 species
GACGAACGCUGGCGGCGUGCCUAAUACAUGCAAGUCGAGCGGAUGGAAGGAAGCUUGCUUCCUAAAGUCAGCGGCGGACGGGUGAGUAACACGUGGGCAACCUGCCCCUAAGUUCGGGAUAACUUCGGGAAACCGGAGCUAAUACCGGAUAUGAUUAUGUCUCACAUGAGACAUAAUGGAAAGACGGUUUCGGCUGUCACUUAGGGAUGGGCCCGCGGCGCAUUAGCUAGUUGGCGAGGUAACGGCUCACCAAGGCGACGAUGCGUAGCCGACCUGAGAGGGUGAUCGGCCACACUGGGACUGAGACACGGCCCAGACUCCUACGGGAGGCAGCAGUAGGGAAUCUUCCGCAAUGGACGAAAGUCUGACGGAGCAACGCCGCGUGAGUGAAGAAGGUUUUCGGAUCGUAAAACUCUGUUGUUAGGGAAGAACAAGUACCAUAGUAACUGAUGGUACUUUGACGGUACCUAACCAGAAAGCCACGGCUAACUACGUGCCAGCAGCCGCGGUAACAC